rnacentral:rRNA from 1 species
UACGGGGGGGGGCAAGCGUUGUUCGGAAUUACUGGGCGUAAAGGCGCGUAGGCGGCCUUCUAAGUCGAAUGUGAAAUCCCCGGGCUCAACCUGGGACUUGCAGUUGAAACUGGAAAGCUAGAGUAGGGUAGAGGGGUGUGGAAUUCCAGGUGUAGCGGUGAAAUGCGUAGAUAUCUGGAGGAACAUCAGUGGCGAAGGCGACACCCUGGACUCAUACUGACACUGAGGUGCGAAAGCGUGGGGAGCAAACAGG